UCCCAAGACUUAGAGUUGCAAAAUUGCUCACUACAAGGACCAGGGCUGGAAUCAGACAGCCCAGUGUGUGGCGGGCCACGGGUACUCUCCCACCUUCCCACUGAAACAGUUGCUUGUGCAUGCCAUGAGGGCGUCAUUCACUGUGUGAUAUGGUUUCAAUUUCCUACUCAGGGAUGGGGCUUUGGUCUGACAUGUCCAGUGGGGCCCUCAUGAAAUGUGUCAAGAAGGACUUUUCUGUAUCAUGGAAGGUGGGCUUAGCAACAUAUGCUGGCUAACUGGAGACCAGAUCUGUGGUCCCCAGUGGCAAAGCCUCUGGAAGUCAGGGCCCUCUUCAUGGUGCCAAAGAUGACCGGGACACACCCCUGCAGAGGCCCUGGCUAGCACGCUCUUUGGCAAUGCCACACUGGCUAGGGGCACACAAUUCCCCCAUAACAUUCAUGCAAGAUGCCAUGUAUGUGUGAAUGACCUCCAGGCCCACUUCCCAGCAGAGUGACUUCUGCCGCCUCUUGAAAAAGAUUCUCUCCUUGACCAAGCUCCUCGGGAGUCUCUUCUCAAUGAGACCCUGACUUUGGAACUUCUGGGUUCAUCUCCGCAUUGUCCAGCUUUAGUAAGAAUCCUAUCCUAAAUCGGUUUAGUAGAAUCCCUGAGCCUAAUCUGAGUCUUCCUCACCAUGCCCCAGGUGGUGCCUACCCAUUCUGGCUGGCCUUCUGCAAGAGCCUUGUUAGGUCCCUUAGCCAGAACUCCCCUUACCCAGGAUCUUUUCUCUUACCAAUUUUCCAUCCACUGACCCCUCCCUCUACUCCUUGGCUAUAAAUUCCCACUUUUCUUCGUUGUAUCUGGAGUUGAGCCCCAUCUCUCCCUCACCGUAAACCCCCCUGAGGUGGUCGCUACACCUCCUCCUGUGGUCCUGACUAAGGUCAUGUAACUGAAUAUGUGUAAUACGGUGUAGCUGAACGGCAUUCCCUGAGUAAGGUCAGCCUGCCUGUUCUUUACCAGUGUCAUGAAUGAAUAAUUUUUUAACACCCUGCGGCUCUGUUCACACAAGUAGCACCACAAAAUUACAAGUCAAGACCCUUGGAAAUCACUGGCAGCUGUCUGAUGUGCAAAUCCCCGGGGGCUGCCCGUCCCUCCCUCCUCUCCUAAAGUGUACCUUUCCAAGGCAUUCCUUUACUCCAUAUAAAUUUGAGCUUCUUGACUUUUCUUUUGAACCAGUUAUAACAUCUGCCUGGUUCCCUCUUUAAUGAGGAAAGUAAAAUCUUUUAACACAUGCUCAUCUUUAUACCUAUAUGAGAGUCAUAAUUUUACCUUAUUUGAAUAUUGUCUUUUAAGGGUGUAACUGAACGACAUUCCCUUUUUCUCCCUGGAACUCAGAAAAGCGAGAAAUGGGUGGUAAAGUAUGGCCUGACAAGAGUGGUUUUCCGGUUUUCAUACCUCUGAAGGAUUUAAAUAACUCAGAAGUCAGACUUCCUAGUGCAAAAUGAAGUUCUCCAAGAGAGAUACAGGAAAUAGACUUUUUGAGAGCAAAGUGAUUUCCAUAGCUGGAACUACAACAAGCACAGAAGUCUCAGAAUAAAUUGCUGGAAGCUUCGAAGAUUUAGAAAUGGAAACUGCACAGGCAAUGAAGGCAACAUUCAAAGAUGAUAGGGACUGUGGCUAGUGGCAGGCGCGGUGCCCUUCCUUCACUGGGUAAACAGUGCCGGAACUUGGUGCAACUGGUUUUCAAUCUCACAGCUGGGAAAGCAGGGCCCUGCUUCUCCAUCAAUGAUUCUGUGAAUGUCAGCAACUCCAAAUAUUUAUUUUUCGGCAAUCAUGCGCAUUUUCCUUAGGGUUUGCGGCCUAUCCAGCAUUCAUCAGAAAGCUAGGCAUGGUCAGUGCAUGUUGGCCAGAAGGCAGCUUACUUUGGCCUUUAGUCCUGCUGUUCUGAGGCCUGGAUAAUAUUUCCCCAUUUACCCGCAGGCCUCACUUCUGAGCACCUUAUUUUAAGUGGGCCUUGAAAACAACAGGUGGCCUUUUCCAUCAGCAAGUAAACCUUAAUUGCAGCACCCAGAGCUAGCAAGGCCUGGGAGGGCCUAUGCUGGGAGCCACAGGCUGUGGCUUUGAACUGGGCGGUCUUCCUUGGCAACACGCACCGGGCUUCCAGGACCCAGCACCUCCUCGCUUAACAGCCAUCCUAAGGUUGUGAUAACCACUUCAGCUGGCUACAGAAAGAAAGCAGGAAGAAAGGUGAAUCGGGAAAAUAAGAGACAGUAGCGAAACGACCAGCAGCUUCCUGACGCCACACAAACUGAACGAAAACACUCAUGACCGCAGAGAUGGAACCUUAUUACUUUAGAUGCUUCUAAUUGGAAAACUAUGCUGGCAAGUCAGUUGCCAUGUCAUGAGUGACACCAUGGAGAGAGGCCCGUGUGGCAAAGAAAGUCCCUAAUCUGCAGCCAUGUGUCUGGGCCAUUGGGGAUAGGGAUCCACCGGGUCCAGGCAAAUUUCAGAUGACUGCAACCCCAGGCAACAUCUUGAUUGGAACCUCUUGGGGGACCAUGUGCCAGACCAUCUGGCUGACCGCUCCCAGAUCCCUGAUCCUCAGAAACUGCAAGAUCUGUAAAGAUGCCCACAUGGUGAAGAACUGAGGCUGCUGGCCAAAGUCAGCAAUGAACCAAAGCUUCUUUCCAACAGCUGUGUGCCAGGGCCAUCUUAGACACAGGCCCUCCAGCCCCAGUCAAGUUUCAGAUGACCGUUGCUCUAGCCAGCAUCCUGAGUGGAACUCCUGAGAGACCCUGAGCCAGACCCCCCCUGACUAAGCCACUCCCAGAUUCCUGACCCUCAGAAACUUUAUGAAAUACUGUUUUUAAAAAGUGUUUAAGUCACUAUGUGCAUUAAUCAUGUGUUUCUGUUGUUUUGCUGUCUGGGGCCUUGCUGACCAUGGAGAGACCAUCCCUUCCAGGCCUCGCUGAUUCCCAGAGAUAGGGCAAACCUUUCUCAUGCAAACCAACCAAUACAGAGCUUAAACCUAACCACCUCCUUCAUUGGUCUUUAACCCAGGGCCCUCACACUCUGGGACCUUAUGGAGCUGCACUAAUCGCCCCAGGCAACUAAAUUCAGCGCCCAUACCCCAAAGCCCACUGAAGUCAUUCAGAUUAUUCUAUCCUCAACCUGCUUUCCCUGCCUUGCCCCGUUGCUUCCCAUGGAAGCCAUGAGAACAUCUCUUUCCCAUUCGUUCCCCAUACUCCACCUCAAAGCCAUCCCCGGUGCUCCUCCAGGUGGCCCGUCGGAGGCAAGGUACGCUCGCUCCUCUUGGAAUGCUCAACAAACGAUCUUUUCAAUGGUAGUCACCUCCUGAUCUUUGGACCUUGCCAUAAUUAAAUAAUAAUAAAACCUACAUUUGAAAUACUAUGGUUUGGGCAACCUGUUGAACAGCACUAGAUAACAAGUACACUUAAAUAUACCUGUGCGUUUCCUUCAUACCACAGUGUCAUUUUCACACCUAGUGACAUUUAAAUUACCUUUAAUAUCAUCUAAUACUAGAUCAUCUGAUAAAUGUCCUCCUUUUCCCUAGCAACACCUUUAUAGCUGGUUUGUUGGAGAACAGGCUCCAAAUAAGGCCACAUAUUGCUUUUGAUGGUAUUUUUCAAAUCUCUUUUCAAGGUAGAAUUUUCAAAAAGGCAAAACCAUGCAUUCCCUAUGAACAUAAAUUAACUAGGUAUCAAAUACUUAAUCAACUCAUGAAUGAGGGAAGCAGCAGUAUGGUUAAACUGGUUAAAAGACACUUUGAGAGACUGAAGCAUUGGAAAAUGACUGCUAAGUUAGAUUUUUAAAACACUGGUUAACAACCUCCAAGGAAAUAAAACUCAUAAUUAAAACAUUUUUGAUUAUCUUUGCAGCCAGACAAAUCAUUUGCAUCUUUACGAGACAUACUUAAUCUCAACUGCUAUCAGAUAAGAAUCAUUUGCAUCAUAACAAUUUUGUACAUGUUAUCCACUUCCCUUGCAGAAUUGUAAACUAUCUUAAUUAAUCUUAAAUGGUCUGGAAUGAAGGUGCACCCCCUAGAAUGUUAGACUGUGCCCCUGAUGAUAUUGAAAGGACAGAACACUGAAUCAUCCAUUUUCUAUUUCCAAGUUUUGAGAUUUUCUUUUUCCUUUAUACUCAUUUAAUCUAGAAUAGAUUAUAGUAAAGUUAUUAUAGGAUGUUGAAAUAAUGCUUUAUUUAUUUAUUCAUUUUAGUAUUGACUUCGAAUUUAAUACAUAGGAUUCCUUUUGAGUAGUCUAAACUAGGGCAUGUGGGCUUGUUUUGAAGGCACAGUCCAGAGGUCUUCACUUGAUUUGACCUCAAACACAAUUCUCCCUCCUUUUCUUCCAAGAGUCAUUUGGUGCCUAACAGAGGUUUCCUGGUGGUUUUCUUUGAAACACUGGGCUGGAAGUUUGAGGGGAGUCUCCUUCCCCACCCUUAUACCUCCCCACCUUCCUUCUAAGACUUUCACUAAAAGUCCUGGAACUUCUGCUUUUUGCAAAGCACAUUGGCUUUCCUCCUUGACAUCAGUUUCUGAUUUGUUCUGCUCCUCCUGUGUGUCUAGAAUGUCUUCAAUGUUGCUUUGUUGCCUGGCUUAGCGGAGGGAGCCCACAAAUAGACCAGGUAUUCCUUUCUGUGUCUCCUUCAGGCAGAGAGUUCCUUGAAGCUAAUGUGGCACCCACUUGCCAGGAAUAUUACAUGAAGGAAGAGCACUUGCUUAAAAGUAGUUCUCCUUUUCCUCUGAGGCAAACCAAGAAUGACAACAGAAUUCCUCAGCCUUGAAUUUGAGCCCAAACUUGAUCACUGGGUUCCUUUACUAAAAGUCUUGUGUUAUAUGGUAGGUCAGCUAUUCGUUCAAAAGUCCUCCCCACGCAGCCUACCUGCAGUAAGAGGAGUGUCCUCCCCCCCUCCACCAAGGCUGGGCUUUAGCCAGAAGGAUGUUAGGUCACAUGAGUCAAGCAGAGGUUUGAAGCUCCCUGGGUGCUGUGCCUGCACUCCCGUGCUUCUGCCAUCACCACGAGAAGAGCUACUCCCAGGAUUUGGGAAGCACUAGCUACAAGUAGACAUUGGUUACCCCUGCUUUUCUCAGAGAAUCCCUCUCCUGAUCCACAGACAUGAACAUCAGCAGCCAUGUUUAGAUCCUGCCCCCCGGGGCCAUGGUGGACCAAACUCGGGUGGACACCUGACCAUUCAAGCUUUGAUUUUGAGGUGGAGAACCUACCUUACUGUUGAAGGAAGUGGGAACAACUCUCGUUUGUUUUUAAGAAAUGAAGUCUAUUUGUAUUGAAAAAUGACUCCAUUCUGUCCCCAUUUAAGGAACAUUUGUAUUAGCUACCUCUUGCUGCAUAACACAUGUCCUUAAAAUCUUUAAGCAACAAUGUACUGCUUCUCAAGCUUCUGCUGGUCUCCCCUGGGUUCAGACAGCUGGUGGAAUUCCUAGGGCUGGAGUCUAAGCAGGCCUCACUCACAUGUCUGGGGUCCUGCUAUGGCUGUCAGCUGGCCUUCUCUCUCCAUGUGGUCCCUGGGUGCUCCAAGAGACGGAAAAUAGAAUUUACAAUACCCCUUAAGGCCGAGUCUCAGAGAGUGCACACUGUCAUUUCUUCUGUAUUCUCUUGGUCAAAGCAAGUUGUGAGGCUAGGCCAGAAUCAAGAGUUGGAGAAAUAGGUCCCACCUCUUGAUUUAGAAAGGAACAGCAAAGUCACAUUGCAAAGGAGUAAAGGACACAAGGGUACUCUUUGUUGGGGAGCCAUGGCUAUCACGAU